rnacentral:rRNA from 1 species
UACGUAGGUGGCAAGCGUUGUCCGGAUUUUACUGGGCGUAAAGGGCGUGCAGGCGGUUUGUUAAGUGCAGGGUGAAAGCUCCCGGCUCAACUGGGAGAGGUCCUUGCAUACUGGCAAACUCGAGGGAGGCAGAGGAAAGUGGAAUUCCCGGUGUAGUGGUGAUAUGCGUAGAUAUCGGGAGGAACACCUGUGGCGAAGGGCGGCUUUUCUGGG